AUUGAACGCUGGCGGCAUGCCUUACACAUGCAAGUCGAACGGUAACAGGUUAAGCUGACGAGUGGCGAACGGGUGAGUAAUAUAUCGGAACGUGCCCAGUCGUGGGGGAUAACGUAGCGAAAGCUACGCUAAUACCGCAUACGAUCUACGGAUGAAAGCGGGGGAUCGCAAGACCUCGCGCGAUGGGAGCGGCCGAGAUCAGAUUAGGUUGUUGGUGAGGUAAAAGCUCACCAAGCCUGCGAUCUGUAGCUGGUCUGAGAGGACGACCAGCCACACUGGAACUGAGACACGGUCCAGACUCCUACGGGAGGCAGCAGUGGGGAAUUUUGGACAAUGGACGCAAGUCUGAUCCAGCAAUGCCGCGUGCAGGACGAAGGCCUUCGGGUUGUAAACUGCUUUUGUACGGAACGAAACGGUGAGCUUUAAUACAGUUUGCUAAUGACGGUACCGUAAGAAUAAGCACCGGCUAACUACGUGCCAGCCGCCGCAGUAA
rnacentral:rRNA from 1 species